UACAGAGGGUGCGAGCGUUGUCCGGAAUCACUGGGCGUAAAGGGCGCGUAGGUGGCGCUGCAAGUCGGUGGUGAAAGCUCGUCGCUUAACGACGAGUCGGCCAUCGAAACUGCAGGGCUGGAGCACUGUAGGGGCAGAUGGAAUUCCGGGUGUAGCGGUGGAAUGCGUAGAGAUCCGGAAGAACACCAGUGGCGAAGGCGGUCUGCUGGGCAGUUGCUGACACUGAGGCGCGACAGCGUGGGGAGCAAACAGG
rnacentral:rRNA from 1 species